AUUGAACGCUGGCGGCAGGCCUAACACAUGCAAGUCGAGCGGAUGAAGGGAGCUUGCUCCUGGAUUCAGCGGCGGACGGGUGAGUAAUGCCUAGGAAUCUGCCUGGUAGUGGGGGAUAACGUCCGGAAACGGGCGCUAAUACCGCAUACGUCCUGAGGGAGAAAGUGGGGGAUCUUCGGACCUCACGCUAUCAGAUGAGCCUAGGUCGGAUUAGCUAGUUGGUGGGGUAAAGGCCUACCAAGGCGACGAUCCGUAACUGGUCUGAGAGGAUGAUCAGUCACACUGGAACUGAGACACGGUCCAGACUCCUACGGGAGGCAGCAGUGGGGAAUAUUGGACAAUGGGCGAAAGCCUGAUCCAGCCAUGCCGCGUGUGUGAAGAAGGUCUUCGGACUGUAGAGCACUUUAAGUUGGGAGGAAGGGCAGUAAGUUAAUACCUUGCUGUUUUGACGUUACCAACAGAAUAAGCACCGGCUAACUUCGUG
rnacentral:rRNA from 1 species